AGCGAACGCUGGCGGCAGGCUUAACACAUGCAAGUCGAGCGGGCAUCCUUGUGGUGUCAGCGGCAGACGGGUGAGUAACGCGUGGGAACGUGCCCUUCGGUUCGGAAUAACUCAGGGAAACUUGAGCUAAUACCGGAUACGUGCGAGAGCAGAAAGGUUUAUCUGCCGAAGGAUCGGCCCGCGUCUGAUUAGCUAGUUGGUGAGGUUAUGGCUCACCAAGGCGACGAUCAGUAGCUGGUCUGAGAGGAUGAUCAGCCACACUGGGACUGAGACACGGCCCAGACCCCUACGGGAGGCAGCAGGGGGGAAUAUUGGACAAUGGGGGCAACCCUGAUCCAGCCAUGCCGGGUGAGUGAUGACGGCUUUAGGGUUGUAAAGCUCUUUUCUUCGGGACGAUAAUGGCGGUACCGGAGGAAUAAGCCCCGGCUAACUUGGU
rnacentral:rRNA from 1 species